rnacentral:misc_RNA from 1 species
GUUCGUGGUUGGGGGUGGUGGUGGUGGUGAUUAGCACGGCUCUAGUACAUGUCAAUUUUGUGAAUCAGGUGAUUUUGUCCGGGAAGAAAACCAAUCGAUUCGUCCUACUUGUAGUGGAAUUUAUGCUCUAGCAAGUAAAUGAUGAAACAAUAUUAGAUACAAGCUUUAGAAGUCUAAAUGCAUGAAAAGACAGUUCAUGGUAUUUGUAACAAGAACAUAUCAAUUGGCACACAAGUUAACAAGAUUUUCAAUCUCAAAAUCUGUUUGUGGAGGAUAUUGAAUAAGCAAUCUGAUUACUUUUGUUUCGUCACUCGAGCUUUUUUCCCUCCCUUGCAACAUAAUCAUCAAUAUACUCCACAUAAUGGGUGUCUGAGGAAGACGGUAAGAAAGAGAGUAAUCAAACUUCUAAACAACUUUCUAGAAAAUUACAAAGUGAAAAAACAGAGCAUUCACCAGGUAUCAAAUCCAUUUAUCACUCUGCACGCCCCCAAAAGGUUGGGACAAGUGAUCCACAAUUCUGCUAAAGAAGGUACAAUCUAAUGCUGAUGGUCUGCCAUAAGCUUUAGCCAAUUGUGGAGACUAUCCAGCGUGGUUUAAAUACAAGACGCAACAAAAAACACAAAAUCUUGCCCUAUUACACAUGCUUUUGGGCUCCCAUAGGCCAUUGCCACCAGAAAAGCAUGCUAAGAAAGUUCUGAGAUAUUAAACUUUAUAGAUAUCUAUUGCAACUAGGAUCCGCGACCACCUGAGCAUGAAAUAGGGAGAAGGGGCAGCUGAGAUGCAGGUGAUAUUGGAGCAACAGAAAGCUGAUUCACAGGAAGUAAUCAGGUGUUCUCCGGGUAACAUCAGGCUCUCCCCUCCUAGGAGCUGGCUCAAACUGCAACGCAUCAAAGAGCACCACCCUAAGAAGUUUUUACCAGAGUACAACAGUAUCGAUUGAGAAGAAAUUUGGGAAAGAGAGACAAACUGACUUGGAUGAAAGUGUGAGCCUUGUAAUCAUCAACUUCCAAUAUAGAUGCCAUGUUUCCGCAGCGGUAACAAUAAUUAGGAGCACUAAAUAUGGUAACCACCUUUUGUUCAUGUGCCCAGUUAAAUCCAUCCAUAACAAGCUGAUGUGCUCUAGCAAUCAACUUCAAGUUGUUUGUAUGAUUAAAUUGUUCGGAUAUAUCCUGACCAAAAGUAUAUCCAGCACCUCGAGGUGAUAUACCCCAGCCACAUCGGUCAUCUGGAUCAGACCAUAAGAGAUCACACAUUGGACCUUCAUGAGGAACCUCUUGUAUUCGGUCCAAGGAGCGGAUAUUAUCCAAUGUAUCUAAAGAUGGAGAAAGACCACCAUGCAAGCAAAAGAUCUGACUCUCAAUUAGGGCUGUCAGUGGCAGAUAAUCAAAUAGGUCAGUGAAAUAUUUCCAGACAUUUGCAUUUCCAUAUUUUCUUAAGCAUUCAUCAUAAAACCCAUACCUGUAAGGAGAGAGGAAAAAAUAAUAGCUCUGGUAGAAACUGCAGAUUUUAUAAUGCAACAUUUACACAUCCAAAUAACUAAAACGCCAAGGUACCAACACCUUUCGUCUUUCAGUCUUUCACUGUCCUAUGCACAAGAAUUUGAUUGAAUGGCUCAUAUUAAUGAACAAAAUGAAGAGAGUGAGCUAUUCAUGCUAUCUGUCUUUGUAAAUUUUAAUCUGUGAUUUUUUAAAAGGAAAUAAUUUUUAACAAAAUAUAAAGAAAGUUAAAUAAUGCAAUCAUCAGUAAUAACUCUAGAAACUUUAAAUCUAGGAAACCUGUGAGGGAGCAGUUUUACACUCCACAACUGCUUGUAUAGGUUUAUUUCACUAGCAAAGCAAAGAUACUAAUACAACCAGUGUUGGCAAGAGGCGCCCAAACAAGGCAAAAUCCAGGCACCUUGCCUGGGAAACCUCCAGGGGAGGUUCCUUCAACUAGGCGCUGCCUAGGCGCCCAGGGGAGGCGUCACCAAGCGCUCCCAGGAAAGUAAAACGCUAGAAAUUAAAAAAAAAAAAAG